rnacentral:rRNA from 1 species
CAGUCGCCGCGGUAAUACGUAGGUGGCAAGCGUUGUCCGGAAUUAUUGGGCGUAAAGGGCUCGCAGGCGGUUUCUUAAGUCUGAUGUGAAAGCCCCCGGCUCAACCGGGGAGGGUCAUUGGAAACUGGGAAACUUGAGUGCAGAAGAGGAGAGUGGAAUUCCACGUGUAGCGGUGAAAUGCGUAGAGAUGUGGAGGAACACCAGUGGCGAAGGCGACUCUCUGGUCUGUAACUGACGCUGAGGAGCGAAAGCGUGGGGAGCGAACAGGAUUAGAUACCCCGGUAGUCCCUGUCUCUUAUUU